GAUUUUUUUCUUUCAUUAAGCUGGUCUUUCUCUACCCGGUCGAAGAUCUAAACAUUCGUGUCGAGUUUCAAAGAAAUGGUUCUGACAAUACUUUUAGUUCGUGCCCUGGCGUAGGCAAAGAAACCAGAAACUACUAUGACAAUACCUCAGUAGACAUAUACUGCACGACCAUCGGUGAAGUGGCGAAUGUGAAACUGAAAUUCGGAGACACCGUCUACCUCUGUGAAGUUUAUAUCAGUGGCGGUCGAAACUUGGCAUUGAGGUCUUCCACUUCUGGAUCGACCCUGAGAUCUGGUUUUAGAGACUCCUCUUUUGCGGUGGAUGGAAGACGACCGACCACCACAGGCUUGAUCAGUGACGAGUGCUUUGCUACUGUUUUCUUUUUUGAUAGUAAUCAGAGAUUCACAUUGGUAUUCGCCACAGCAGUCAGAUUAUUCUACUUUCUAAU
rnacentral:sRNA from 1 species